rnacentral:rRNA from 1 species
AAGUAAAAGUCGUAACAAGGUCUCCGUUGGUGAACCAGCGGAGGGAUCAUUACCGAGUUAUACAACUCCCAAACCCACUGUGAACCUUACCUCAGUUGCCUCGGCGGGAACGCCCCGGCCGCCUGCCCCCGCGCCGGCGCCGGACCCAGGCGCCCGCCGCAGGGACCCCAAACUCUCUUGCAUUACGCCCAGCGGGCGGAAUUUCUUCUCUGAGUUGCACAAGCAAAAACAAAUGAAUCAAAACUUUCAACAACGGAUCUCUUGGUUCUGGCAUCGAUGAAGAACGCAGCGAAAUGCGAUAAGUAAUGUGAAUUGCAGAAUUCAGUGAAUCAUCGAAUCUUUGAACGCACAUUGCGCCCGCCAGCAUUCUGGCGGGCAUGCCUGUUCGAGCGUCAUUUCAACCCUCGAGCCCCCCCCGGGGGCCUCGGUGUUGGGGGACGGCACACCAGCCGCCCCCGAAAUGCAGUGGCGACCCCGCCGCAGCCUCCCCUGCGUAGUAGCACACACCUCGCACCGGAGCGCGGAGGCGGUCACGCCGUAAAACGCCCAACUUUCUUAGAGUUGACCUCGGAUCAGGUAGGAAUACCCGCUGAACUUAAGCAUAUCAAUAAGCGGAGGAG